rnacentral:lncRNA from 1 species
ACCCUACUUGGUUUCCUGUCUCCUUAGAACUCAAGGAUACCGUGCUACGAGCCUAUACAACAGAUCCUGUUCAUGUAAGGUCGCGCCCGUCCAAGUUGCUGUGAUGUUAUAUAAAAGACUACCUUCCCUAACUAACCAAGUCGAUGACUAUAGCAACAAAAGCUGUGAUUUCGUAUUAGAUGCCUUUAUUUUUUAAGGUUAGUACACAAUUGAUUCACAUGAAUUAUAUUAUUUGAAAGAUUAUUAGUUUGGGUCAUGUAUUCUAAAGUUUCUUCUUAAGAGAUACAUAAGAGUGAUUGCCAUUGGAAGAGAGAGGCUCUUGAGAAAGUGGGCACAAAGCAAUUCAUUAGCCCAUAAUUUAGACCACCAGAGUAAUACUUGUUAGACCUUGAAUUGGGGUAGGGGCCGCGCCAUGAGACUAGAACGUGAUUAACCGGCCUCCAUGGCCUUUGGGUCAUGGUGUCAUAGAUGAUCGUUCUCGGCUUGGUUUGCUGGGCUUGAGCUACUGCGACAAAUAGGUACAGUGCUAUGGAAGUCACCAAAGAAAGUAACUUCGGAGAGAAAACGGGUAAACAUCGAUUCUGAGAAUUGAGCUCUAGCAAAAAAUUUUGGUAGUAGUCUGUCAGACAGCCACGAGACCACCUCAAGCCCAGCGAACCAAGCUGAGAACGAUCAUCUACAACACCAUGACCCAAAGGUAAUGGAGGCCAGUUAAUCACGCUCUAGUCUCAUGGCUUCAAUUCAUCCACCAGACUUAGUUUCCUGUCUCCUUAGAAGUCAAGGAUACAGUGGUACGAGCCUAUAGAACAGAUCCUGUUCAAGUAAGGUCGUGCCCAUCUGAGUUGCUGCAACAACAUAUAAACACUUGGCUGCCUCGCUAGCUUAUCGAUGUGGGACACGAGGUGGG